AGUCGAACGCGAAAGCUCCCUUCGGGGGGCAAGUAGAGUGGCGCACGGGUGAGUAACACGUAGGUAAUCUACCUUCGGAUGGGGAAUAACAACCGGAAACGGUUGCUAAUACCGCAUAAUGCAGCGGCACCUAAUGGUGACAGUUGUUAAAGCGGGGGAUCGUAAGACCUCGCGUCUGAAGAGGAGCCUGCGGCAGAUUAGCUAGUUGGUAAGGUAACGGCUUACCAAGGCGAUGAUCUGUAGCCGGCCUGAGAGGGCGGUCGGCCACACUGACACUGACAUACGGGUCAGACUCCUACGGGAGGCAGCAGUCGGGAAUUUUGGGCAAUGGGCGAAAGCCUGACCCAGCAACGCCGCGUGAAGGAUGAAAUCCUUCGGGAUGUAAACUUCGCAAGAACGGGAAGAAUAAGUGAGGGUUAAUAUCUCUCGCGAUGACGGUACCGUUUGUAAGCUCCGGCUAACUCCGUGCCAGCAGCCGCGGUAAUACGGGGGAGCAAGCGUUGUUCGGAUUUACUGGGCGUAAAGGGCGCGUAGGCGGCCACCGCAAGUCGACUGUGAAAUCUCCGGGCUUAACCCGGAAAGGUCAGCCGAUACUGCGGGGCUAGAGUGCAGAAGGGGCAACUGGAAUUCUCGGUGUAGCGGUGAAAUGCGUAGAUAUCGAGAGGAACACCUGCGGCGAAGGCGGGUUGCUGGGCUGACACUGACGCUGAGGCGCGAAAGCUAGGGGAGCGAACGGGAUUAGAUACCCCGGUAGUCCUAGCCUUAAACGAUGAAUGCUUGGUGUCUGGGGUUUUAUAGUCCCCGGGUGCCGUCGCUAACGCUUUAAGCAUUCCGCCUGGGGAGUACGGUCGCAAGACUGAAACUCAAAGGAAUUGACGGGGACCCGCACAAGCGGUGGAG
rnacentral:rRNA from 1 species